rnacentral:lncRNA from 10 species
UGAAAUUGUCUGAGUUUUGACAAUUAUAAUAUUUUAUUUCUGAUUAAUCAGAAAAUAGUUUGCCAUAAAAAUUUAUCACUUCUGAUAUUAGCACAUAAAUUUGUUUUUAUUGUAAUUUCAAAACUAAUGUCAAGACUGAGCAAAUCAUAAGAUGGAAGCACCUGUGAGUGCCUGGGACCCUCAAGAUCAUCAAAUCCAGCUUUCCCUGCAGAGAUGGUCUUUCAACUUUUGCCUGAACAUCAUCCUUGUGAGGGAAAUCGUUUCAUCACAAAGCAAUCCAGUUUACUACUGGAACACUGCAAUUAUUUGAAGAUUUUUGGCAUCACAUGUCACAACAUUGCUUCAUAUGAAUUGGUACUUAAAAGAAAACUCGACGCCAUAGAACUACAAAAUUAAAUCCAGGAAGAACCUCAGAGACGAUCUUCUUCCAACAUCCUCUUUCUCAGAUAAGGAAAUUAAGGUUUUAAAAGAUCUUGUGCCAAAAGUCACACAGUUGACUUGUGGCAGUUAAGAUUAAAUUUUAAAAUUCCU